UUCACCACCUUGCAUGUAGCUUCAAUGCCUUUACUUCUUUAGAAGCUUUCCAUUCUUCUUUCAGUGUGCUAACUUCCUUCCUACACUCAGGAAUAUACACAUCUUGUGUAGGCUCUGAAAUUUAGGCAAUGUGGAUACCAAAAUCCACGGGUAGCUGCCACCAACUUUUUUUCUCCUCAAUGUGUGUACUUUCCUCUCUAUGCUCAUGAAUAUACAUUUUUGUAUAGGUUCUGAUGCAUAGGCUGUGGGCAACUCAUCCACGAAGAUACACCAUUAACGAGAGCAACUCUCCAAGAUUCACGAAUAUACAUCUUGUGUAGACUCUGAACAACCUGGGAAAAAAUUUCCUCUUUGUCUUGGUUUAAUGAUGAAAAAUGAACAUCUCUUAUGAACCUGAAACAUCACUCAAACUCCAGCAAGGAUAAGACAUGAGCAUUGGGAUCAAUCAUUGACUAAUCAUCAAGUUUGAUCACCAAUGUCAUAAGCAUUGCAAUAGAUAGAAUCAAGUCAUGAUCAAGUUCUAAUCUCUGCAAGCAACUUUCACUGAACACUAAGCAUGAUCUUAUCAGGAUUCAAUACAAAGCAUUUAAGCAACCACACUGCCUUAACCACAUCUUAGACUUGAGUCUAAAUAUAUCAACCCCAAGGCAGCAACAAGAUGAAAAUAUGCAAUAACUUUAAUCAGUUUCUAAUUCAUGAAUACAACAUGAUUAGACAAAACAAUCUAUCAUCCUAACAACCAUUCAUUUAGAACUGAGGCUAAGCAAUAUAAUCAUCAAUCAACACCAGACAAUGUCAUACCUUAAUCAGAUUCGAUCAAUGAAAGCAAACAUGAUUUAAAUACAUCUAACAUCCUAACACAAUCAUUAUAGAACCGGGGAAAGCAUUUUAUUUUUCAGACAUCAAACAAGACUCUUUAAGCAUCCAGAAAUAGAACUAGACAAUAUAAUAUAGCAUUUUAUAUCACAGUACCCACAAAUUGAAUCACAGCACAACAACAAGAUACAAUCACAAGCUCAUAUCAAGAAGGCUUGGAUUAGCUUACAACCAAGGAUCCUAAGCUGGUUUCUUGAGCCUCCUUGGUAACAGGCCACGAAUCUAGUGGAUAAGAGAGCUGGAUCGUCACCCAACACUUUCUCCUUGUGUUCAUAUAACCUCCUCCCUGACACCACAACACAAAAGGUUCCACCUUUCUUCACAGCUCCAAGUCUCCAACUUCAGGAAUAAGAUGGAAGCUUUCUUCUUGAAGGGUUUCAUCUUGGAACAGAGUUGAGACACACCUUUAAUAGACUGGAUAGAAGAGGAGUGGCCAUGAGAAACCACCAUGGCUUCAGACAUCUUUUUCUUGAAGAGAUAGAACCAGCUGGACAUAUCUUCUAUGGCUUGGACUCGAGAUGAGCCUUGGCUUGUGAUGGAUUUGCGGAAGCUUCAACCAGGUUCAGAAGAACCUGGCUCUGAUACCAUGUGAGAUUUUUAGAGUCUCUUGUUGUGUGAAUGAAGAACAAACCCUUUAGGGUGAAAUGAGUAUUGAACUAAUGAAAGGGAGAAUCUGAUGAAAGAGAGUGUAAGUGAUUUAGAAACAAGAGAUUGAGAGUAUAAGAGAUUGAGAGAUUAAGUAACCAAGAUUAGAGUUUCAUAACCAAGAAUACUUUAGAUUAUGAAGGAGAAGGAAAACUUCCCCUAACUUACUUAAGUUAGAAUAUGUGUACAAAGAGGGCUUUUAUAGCCAAAUACAUAAGACAAUAAACAUUAAAGAAAUAGGAAGAGGACAAAGAAGUAAGGCUCCAACAGCUCUAAAGAGAUAAGGUUCCAACAGCUCUAUUUUGAAUUCUGAACUUUGAACUUUUGGACUGUAGUGAACAGUGCUCGAAUGCAGGUUUCUCAAAUCGUCCACUUUAAUGUCGUAGAUGAUAUUUCUUUUUCCUCAAACACAAUUCUUUUCCCUACAACAUCAAAGUGUUCAAUAUAGCUUUCUUGAAGUGCUCACUUAGAUGUUGUAGGUAAAUCUGCUUUCCAUUUCUCUUUUGCUGUCUUUGUCUUUGAUUCUUCCUUCUUCAUUUUCUUCAAGUUAACAACUUUGACCAUUUUUCAUCUACUAAACUGACAAAAAUAUUUGACAACCAUUUUUAUUUCUCAUUUCCCAUCUUUAUAUAAUCGGCUGGUCCAUAUCUUAAAUCACACCAAGAGAACGAUGACGAAUUUUUAGAGCGGAGCCGCCGGGAAUUUGAGUUGGAAACGAGUUAAGUUCGUCCAAAAAAUGUGCCUGAAGUCAGUAUAUAUAUAUUAUAUCUAUAUGUUUGUAAUACAAUAAACUAUUCUGGAAAAAUGGAAGUGCACUUAUAGGUUAGCCCUAGGAUUUAGACACAAACCAAACAGAACCAAAAUUUUAAGUUUUCUGUUCAGAAACAAGUUGAUUUCAGUUCAGUUCCGUAAGGUUUCGAAAAAAUUGGCUCGGUUCGCAAGUAGGUUAAAUUCAGUUUUCCAAAAAAAUAUAAAAGUUUUAAACCAAAAAUAACCAAACUGAUCAAGCUAACCAAAAAAACUAACCAAAACUAACCGAAAACCUGAAACCACAUGCCUAUUAAGUUUGCCUCUUUAUUUCACAUUUUUAGUUUUUUAAAUGUUUAGACGGUGUAGUUUUUAUAUUUAUAGAUGACUAACUAUAUACGAGUUCAAAUCUAUAUAUGGACGAAUGUUACAUUGCAGGUUGAUAAGGGGAGAAUUAAUUUCACUUUUUCUGGUGGAGAUUUUUUGUUAUACCUGGUUUAUUUGUAGCAAAAGUUGCUAAUGCUCAAUGUUUAGCUAUGCCACAUCAACAAAUUAAUUCACACCAAUCACAUUAUUAUGUUAUGCCCUGAUAUCUAUUCUUCAACACGUGAAAAUUACUUCAGUUACAUCUUAGCUACUUUAAAAUAGUUUCCGUCUAAGCCCACAUCUUUAGCCCAAAUUUUUGGUGAUCCCUAUCAGUUUUGUCGCCAAUUGAUAAACUUCGUAUUCUUCCUUUUCCUUGGAGAAACCUAGCCGCUUUCACCUAUUUAGCUUAUCCUCUGUAAUGUUAAUUAACCAUAAUUGUGACCCAUAAAGCUCCAUUAUUUAGUGCAAUAACGAAGGGAUUCAACAGAAAAAUACAGCUGCAGGUCUCCAGUUUCUCUGUUUAUUGGCGACACCAUAUCGACAUCUCUAACGGUGGCUUCAAGACAGAUAGAAUUUUCACAGCCCACCAUAACUUCCAAAAGCCCCAUUAUUGUGCAGUUUAGGAGUGAUAACAUAUUGAACCCUCUUCAUCUUCUCCCUUAACCUAACUACAUAAACCGAGGGCUGACGAACUCCAUUCUGAGCACAGCUAUGAAAUAAAGAUCAACCAUUAAAAAUUCGUUUCGCAUGAUGUGUCAUGGUUAACUAACAAAGCUGUUCAACAGAUAACGGACGAUGAUGAUGAUUAUGAGGACAACGUUACUUAUGGGUUGAUGACGAAGAGGAAGAACAUCAAAGAAGGAAGAGCAUAAAGAAGAUUUUGGCUGGACAACAACACUCAGAGUCUCAGAUGUCCUUGAGAAAUUGAGUCUGACAAAAACAUGAAUUGUGUUAAGGUUCUAAGGGAGAUCCAGGCGAGUCAAUCGUCCAGCUAGAUGAAUAUGGAUACAAUAUUUUAAUUUGUCAUAUUUGGUGGAGUAAAUAUUAUCUUAUUCCUUUCUUGUUUUGCAUUGCAGAACCAACAAGAUAAAGUUGAAGCAAAUGUUUUCGGGGAGAUGACAGCUCUCGGAGCUAAAGAGCGAAAAUUGUAUCAGAUUUUGUAUUCCAAGGUAUGAAAAUCACCUUUGAUUCUGAGAUUUCAUGAUGUACAUGUGCAAAAAGAAAAGAAAAAAACCUUAAAAGCUUCUAAAUAUUUUGUUAACCGUGGAUGACUGCAAGAAGACUGAUCAUGUUCUGAAAUGCCAAAACAAGUUACCAAAGGUGUACAACUUUGUAAUAUAUCUUUCGUCCAACAAGAAAAUGUGAAAAAACCAAUGCAAAACAGAGAUUGUUUUAAGUUUAUAAUCCAGAAAGUUUACUCUUUGGUUUUAAAUCUAACAUGAUAGAGCCAUACUACCAAGAACUGCCGAAUUCAAAGAUACAAAAAAUAGAAGAAAACAGUCUCCAAGUUAAAAAAGAAAAAAGUUCUAGCAGGAGAAUCAUUGGGAAGUCAGUUCCCAGUUUACACAAUACCACCAACAAUGUUCUUCGGAUUCACUAUUGGUCCAGGAGCUCAGUUCGAUCAGAAUCAGGACCUUCAAAAAAUUUGGAUCACGUUUGCUCAAGUUCUAGAAAGCGGUAAAGGCGGAGCUAUUUUGGCUCUUCUGAAAGUUUCUCCUGUUUCAGCACACAUUGUUGUGUUUGGACCAGGGAAUACGGUGGUGUUAGCAUGUGGAACAAGUCCUUUUCCAAGUAAUUGAGGUUUGUUAUAAUUGCUGGAGAACUUAUUGGUGAACAAGUACUUCAGUAGAGUCCAUUCUUGAUGAAUACUCAAGCCGAGAUUGAUAUGACCAUUGAAGAUUAUCACUAUAGAAAUUAUGGCUUCGAAAUGGCCAAGUAAAUGAUCGAAGACUAACAACAAUCACUAUUUUAUAAAAGAAACUGUAUUUUUGCACUCUGACAUAUGUCACAUAAAAUAAACUGAUCAGUUCGUCAAUAUAAUUUGCAUACAUAUUAAUAUCUCAUGUAAACAUAUCACAUGUCACUUAAACAAUCAUCUUGAAAGAAACUGAAAGGCUUGAUAUGACUCUCUUAAACGUCUUUAACACUUUUAAGUUUCCCUAAUUGGUGAAUCCAGAAAAUUAGUUCGUCGUGCAUCCUUUCCUGAUUCUCAAAGUGUAUCAGUUUUCAAAAUAGUCAACUGCAAAUAUUUUUGCUAUUGUAUAAAUGCAUAGACGUGUAUGUUCAAAAUUUUAAGGUAAUUAGAAAAAUAGAAGUACAAGAAUGGGAGAUACAAUUUCUUUUAACGAAAACCGAUGAUAUAAUUUAAUUUUACGGAUCAAUUUAUUAAAGAAAAGUCUGUUUUGGGACACUCAAACACAUUAUGUAUAUGCUGAGAAAAGUUAAUAAUAAGUGAUUGUGGGAACCGAAAUUCGCACUGUCGAUUUCCGUUUAAAUAAGGAAACUAGGAAAACCCUAAUUUCCCAGAGGUCCCGGAUC